rnacentral:rRNA from 1 species
CCUACGGGAGGCAGCAGUAAGGAAUAUUGCGCAAUGGGCGACAGCCUGACGCAGCGACGCCGCGUGGGGGAUGAAGGUCUUCGGAUUGUAAACCCCUUUCGGCAGGGAAGAUGGAACGGGUAACCGUUCGGACGGUACCUGCAGAAGCAGCCACGGCUAACUUCGUGCCAGCAGCCGCGGUAAUACGAAGGUGGCAAGAGUUGUUCGGAUUUACUGGGCGUACAGGGAGCGUAGGCGGUUGGGUAAGCCCUCCGUGAAAUCUCCGGGCCUAACCCGGAAAGUGCGGAGGGGACUGCUCGGCUAGAGGAUGGGAGAGGAGCGCGGAAUUCCCGGUGUAGCGGUGAAAUGCGUAGAGAUCGGGAGGAAGGCCGGUGGCGAAGGCGGCGCUCUGGAACAUAUCUGACGCUGAGGCUCGAAAGCGUGGGGAGCAAACAGGAUUAGAUACCCUGGUAGUCCACGCCCUAAACGAUGUCAACUGGUUGUUGGAGGAGUCAAUCUUUCAGUAACGCAGCUAACGCGUGAAGUUGACCGCCUGGGGAGUACGAUCGCAAGAUUAAAACUCAAAGGAAUUGACGGA